AGUGGUGGCACAAAACAUCUCCAUCAUAUUCUAUGUAUUGCCAACACUAGAACAAGUAACAGUGUUUUCGUAACGCCUUCACUGCCAAAAUUGUGUAUACAUGGUUUACUUGCAUUUGAUUGGUUUCAAAAUUAGCCUGUAAAGCCUUACCGGCCUUCCUUCUUGGUCUAGAAUUAAAGUUAAAAGUGUACAAAGCUAAUUUCUCUUCUUCAUUCCAUC